UGAUGAUGAUGAUGAUGAUGAUGGUGGUGAUGACGAUGACGACGAUGUUGAUCAUGAUCAUGAUUAUCAUUAUCAUCAUUAUCAUCAUUAUCAUCA
rnacentral:pre_miRNA from 1 species